CGGGUUCCCUUCCACGCUGUGGAAGGUUUGUUCUUUUUGUUCUUUGCCUUAAAUGCUGCUGCUGCUGCUCAGUCUUUGGGUCCACACUGCUUUUAUGAGCUGUAACACCACGAAGGUCUGCAGCUUCACUCCUGAAGCCAGUGAGACCACAAACCCACUGGGAGGAACAAACAACUCCAGACGCGCCCGCUUAAGAGCUGUAACAUUCACCAGGAAGGUCUGCAGCUUAGAGCGAGACCACAAACCCCCCAGAAGGAAGAAACUCCGAAUACAUCCGAACAUCAGAAGGAACAAACUCCGGACACGCCACCUUUAAGAACUGUAACUCAUUGCGAGGGUCCGCGGCUUCAUUCUUGAAGUCAGUGAGACCGAGAACCAACCAAUUCCGGACACAGAACGAAUCAACCAAGGAUGGAAAGCCCCUCUUUGAGCCGAAGGACUAGAGGAACAAAAGACUCAGCCCCAAGGUUAUCCGGGUAAUAAGGUGUAAUGGAAUGAGAAUGGAACAAGCACAGGAUCUGGAGACACAAGCCAGGUCUCCAGUCACUGCUUAGCCGGAGAUGAAUGGCUGGAGACCUUGGACACAAUGCUGCCUUGGGUCUCAGGAGGAGUUGCACCAGAAGAUUUUGCUCACCUAGCAACACUGGCUGUGGCUGAGGAGUGGUGUUCCUCUACACAGAGCCUGGGCUUUCCUCCAGACUUGCUGCCCUCUUGCAAGCCCCCUGCCUGAUGUCACCUGCCUGAUGCUGGUGCUUUUCGACUGCUGUAUCUAUGAAGGGAGAAGCAUUUGCUGCUGAAACACUUGAGAGUAAAGUUUAGCAGAGUAAGAGAGACAUAAAUCUAGAGGUUUGGGAUAGUUUUUUUUUUAAAGGAUGUAUCAUUCGUUUAUUUUAAAAAGUCUAAGAAGAAAAGAGGAGAGCAGUGGGUACAUUCGAGAGCAUUUGAGGGUUAGAAAAGAUUUACAUCUUAGGAAUGAGGAUCCUUGAGCUUGUUUCCAAGUUCAUGGUGUUUUGAGUGUGGCAAGACUUUUUAAUAAUAUGAAUGAUGCCCAUGGAAUCUUCUGUAACAUUCAAUCGACGGGAAUCCCGAAGUACUAUAUAUCCCAGAUCUUUAUUUUCCCAAACACAUUGGAGUAUGAAGGACAUGUUGUGAAUGACAGAAUUCUGUCAUUAUAUUUAAUUUACUAUCAAAUUUACCUACUAAAGUGGAGGACUGAUUAAGAUAAAUACAGACAAUGAUCUCAUCCUGGAAGGAAUUACUAUGGAAAAAUAAUUUGACAAGAAGAUCCACUUUUUAUCUGAACAAUAAAACAUAUCAAUUUCUCAAAACCUCUUAUGUUUGGCCAGUUCAUCUGGUGAGAGAAUGGAAAAAGGGAGACAUUCAUCAAUUUUACAACCUGCAGUCCAUCCUCAGACCAAAUCAGGAAGAAGAGUGCAUGGAGAAAACAUUUGGGAAGAAAAGGUAUUUUCAAAACAUCUGGAGCAAGAGACAAAUCCCAUCAGCUCAGUUCCAACAAUAUAUGCAGAUGGGCAACUGAUGGUCAGACUCCAGUGGUUCUUCAAAACUUUCUAGGAGGUAAACAAGAUGAAAGGGAAAGCACACAAAUUUGCUGGAAUUUGGAAAACACGAACCCUGGAAUUUGGAGGAGUCACUUCCACUGGAAAAUACUUUUAUAUUAUUUAUAGUGGCUACCAUUACCGUGCUCACUUUACAGGUGAGGUUCAGAGAUUUAUGUAACAUGCCAAAGGUCACACAGCUGGACACAGCAGAACCAAGAUUCAAAUCUGCACAGGCUCUCAACCAAUUGGAUGGCACCUGCCCACCUUCCCUAAGAGUCGUUCUUCCUUACUUAGUACACUGAUUCAAAUGCCAUCUCUCCUGGAAACAUCCUGACAGACAUGCCCAGAAAUAAUGUUUUACUGGCUAUCUAGAUAUCCCUCAACCCAGUCAAGUUGACACCUAAAAUGAACCAUCACAAUACCAAUUGUGAAAACUGUGUUACUAUUUGUCAAAGAUUUGGCUUUCCCAUCUGGUGAGAAAAUUAUACUUGCCCAACCUGUUGAAAUCAGGCAGGGCAAUGACUGACUUAACUAUGGCUAACAAAAUAUAAACAGAAGUGAUAUGUGUCACUUUUAGGCAGAAGUUUUCAGAGUCGCUGCUUGAUGAUAAG
rnacentral:lncRNA from 1 species